UACGUAGGGGGCAAGCGUUAUCCGGAUUUACUGGGUGUAAAGGGAGCGUAGACGGUAUGGCAAGUCUGAUGUGAAAACCCGGGGCUCAACCCCGGGACUGCAUUGGAAACUGUCGGACUAGAGUGUCGGAGAGGCAAGUGGAAUUCCUAGUGUAGCGGUGAAAUGCGUAGAUAUUAGGAGGAACACCAGUGGCGAAGGCGGCCUGCUGGACGAUGACUGACGUUGAGGCUCGAAAGCGUGGGGAGCAAACAGG
rnacentral:rRNA from 1 species